rnacentral:lncRNA from 1 species
UUCAUUUUAUGGUUCAGGGGUGGACGAUUUAUUCAUUCAGUCCAAAGACUCAGGACGUUCCUAAAAUGUCGAUUAUUCGGGAAAUUCAAUAUAAUGGCCAUCUGUUGGCAUUCCAGCCUUUUUUCUACUUUCCAGGCCUAUAUGAAAAAGAAGGAUAAACAACAUAAAUUUCAAUCUCUAUGAAAGUAAUUACAUAGGAUUUCGGUUAUAUUCUCUCUCUUAAUUUUUGAAAAAUACUUAUACAUUAUUAUGUCUCUUAUACAUUACUAUAAUAUAUGAGGUGAAUCAAUUUGCAUAUAAUUAUGGAAAUAAAGUAUGAUAUCAUUAUUAUCUCUCACAAUUAACGUCAUUAAUUAAUGCACUGAUUUUAUGGAGGCAGAAAAAUAGUAACUGAUAAAUCAAAUUUAAAAUUAGUUAGUAAUGAUAAACUUCAAAUCAAUCAAUAUAUAUAUAUAUAUAUAUAUAUAUAUAUAUAUAUAUAUAUAUAUAUAUAUAUAUAUAUAUAUAUAAAAGACAGAUACUUUAAAAGGAGUAAUUAUUUUGAGCUUUUAAAUUGAUUUAAUAUUUAAUUGAAUUUGAAAAGGCAUUAUACAUACAUUGAAUAUUCAUUUGCAAGAGUUAAAAGUAGUUAACCCACAAACUUUGAAAUAAAUCUCACUUAACCUUUCAUUCAGCCCACGUAACAUUGAUAUAUACGUUUUCCAUGUUUCCUAUAGUAUAUAUUAUUCUUUCUUUUUGAGUCAUGUUAAUCUCCAUCUUGUGUUCUUUUACAUAUUUUAUUGUGCACCGAAAAAAAUAUUCAGUAACCAAAAUAUUGUGCAUGACCUUCUUAAGCUUUCCAUUAGUAGAUUAUUAGUAUUUUGUGACUAUAAAUUUGAGCCAAUGAUGGAGUAAGUAUUAGACCAUUAUGAAAUUGUAUUUCAUUUGUAGUUGGAGAAGUACGAAAUUGUCUUGUUUCCUUUUUCCUUUUCCGAUAUCAUUUUUCAGUUUCUUUCUUGUACUAAUAUUUUCAUAUUUGGUUCAAAAAUAAUUGUUUUUCUUUCCCUUAUUUUUCUUUCUUGUCUCCAAGGCUGUAUUUUAUUUAAGCAAGAAUGUAAUAUGUGAAAUUUUAUUUAUUUUCUUACAAUUUUUAUUUGCAAUGCAUUAGUUUGUGUGAUGUUUUAUUUUUGCAGAAAUAAGAGAAGACUCAAAAAUCAUCAUAAAAAGAUUUAUGAAGAAAAGGACAAAUUCAUUAUCGUCACUGGCAACUUGACAUGAAUAUUUUUUUUGGUAAUGUUUUUUCUAUUUUUUUUUUAUAGCUGAAUAGUAUAAUGUUGAUACUUUUAAAAUUUGAUGUGGUAUAAAAAAGACGUUUGAUGAUCUACAUUUGAUCACAUGCAAAGAAUCAGAAUUCUUUUUUAUAUUUAAAAUGUUUAAAUAGCUUAAUUUUAUUUUUACUGAUUGUUUAUUUACUCCCACUUUGUUUUUCUUUUAAAUACGAGGCAUCGAAGAGGAAUGAAAAGGUUGUGUAUUAGAGGAGUUUAAAGUUCUUCAUUUUUUGUUAUUGUUACUGCAGUUUGAGCGAGUGAAAGAAGAAAAGACUAAAAAAAUUUUUAUUGUGGGCGAGAGCUUGAUCUCUUCUUUCUUCAUCAUUUUACAAAUGAGUUGACUAAUGAACUAAUUAUGCCAAAAGAAUGUAGGCAAUUUUUUUCUAAGAGAAAAAAAAAGUAACAUUUAAAUUUAAUUGAAAAUUAACUAUCAUUUUAUAAUCACUAAUAUGCUAACAAAUUAUGUUAUGGACUAUGGUUAUAUUUAUGUUUGAUUUUUUUUCUUUACUUUUUUGAAAGUCUUUUCCUCAUCGUUUCUUUAUUUAAUACAAUUCAACUUAAACUAUCACUGAUGUGGCAUGCCUCAAUGAGCUUCAUUUCUAUUUAUCUAUUUUCUCAUUUUCUUGAAUUUUUCUCUAAUUUUAUAUUUAGAAAAAUUUCAGAAAAUUAGUUACUCUUUACCGUUUCUCUUUCCUCAUUAUUACUGUUAUUUAUUUAUUUUUCAAUAAUUAUUAUAUUACCUUCUUUUUCUUCGUGCAAUUAUUAAAUAUAUAUCAUCUAUAUUUAUUACUUUCCUUAUUUUACAACUUUAUUUACUUUUUUAUUCUCUCAUUCUUAAAUUAAGAAAUUUUUGUAAAGGAAAUGGUAUCCUAACCUAACGUAUGUUAGAUAACAAAAUCAUUCAGAAAAGUGGAAAAUAAUAUAUUAGCAAAAAAGUAUAUUUGGUAAAGUGUAAUACAAUAAUAAAAAUAAGAGAAGAAAUAUUUUUUAAGUUUCUUUUACAAAAAUAAUUAGUGUAUUAUUAUUAUUAUUAUUAUUAUCAGGACAAUGCAUUUAUCUAAUAUACAUUUAAAUCAUCAUCAAUUGAAAUUAGUACACAUUUUAAGUAAAUGAAAAACAAAAGGACCAAAUCCCUUUCAUUUUGCAAAACUGUUUAAUUUUUAGCAUAUAAAAAAGAUGAGCUGAGUAUCUGACUUAUUAACUUUGCCUCUUUUCUUUUUGAAAUGUUAUUUUCUUAAGAAAAUUGAGGGGUCGUUUGGUGGAGUGUAUUGUCAAAAAUAAUGCAUGCAUUAAUUAAUGUGUAUUAUGAAUAUCUUGUUUGGUACAAUUUUUAGUCUAUGUAUAAUUAAUGCAAACAUUAGUUAUACACUCUAAUGUGUAUUAAGGUGUGUAUUACUAAUACCAUCCAUUUUUUAUGUAUUAGUAAUGGAAAGGCUUUAAUACAUGCAUUAACUUAUUAAAUGACUUUAAUACCCCUCAAUUUCCCACUCAAAAUAUUUCACCAUUCCUUUUCUCGCCAUUUUAAUUUGCAAUAGUGAAUCUUUUCAAAAUAUUUCACAAUUUUUUUCCACCAUUUUAAUCUACAACAAUAAAUAAUUGAUUUAAAUAAUUGUAACAUAUUUUUGCUUUGCUUCGAGAGUCUUUAAAAAGAUAAAAAAAAAAGUUGAGAAUAUUUCUUAAUUUUAUGUCUUAUAUUUUAUUUUUGUUUCGACUAUGUUAAUCUGUUGGCGUAAUAAUUCAUACGCAAAGACGAAGGUCUUGCAAUUAAUUCGAAACCUCUAUAUACUAGUUCAACAAUACUAAUUAUAUUUGAAAUGACAAAAGAAUUUUGUUGCAAAAAAAAUGUACAAAAUCAAAGAAGGGUAUUUUUGUAAACAAACAUUUCUUUUAUAGAAAUUAUGUAAGAUGUAUUAUUUCUUAUACAUCAAACCAAACAAUGUAUAAGAAAUAACACAUGCAUAACUAAUACAAGCAUUAUUAAUGCAAACAUUAUUAGUACACUAUAUUUUGCAUUAUUCUUAUACACUCUAUCAAACGACCCCUGAAAGUGAUACUAUUUCAUGGUCCUUCUAAAAAUCUUCUAUAUAGUAAAAAUAAUUAUGACCAUAAAAAAAAUGUGAUGUAGUGAAUGGAGUUGUACCUCGCUUAAUUGAUCGAGUAAUACACUCAAAUCUAAAGGUGGAUAAUUUUUUGUUAAAGAUGGAGAAAAAAGAUUGUAAAACGACUAUGACUAACAAAGGAUGCGGAAUAGUGGAUGAAGUUGCACCUCGCUUAAUUGGUCGAGUAAUACACUCAAAUUUGAAGAAGGAUAAAUUUUGUUGAAGAUGGAGCAAAAAGAUUGUGAAGAUAAAUAGUAAAAAACAAGUUAUUGUUGUGUGAAGCGAUUUCAAGCUGCAAUUAUUUUCUAUUUGUAAUAUUUUUUUUGUCAUUCUGAUGCAAACUGAUCAAAAAUAAUGUUUAUACUUCAUCGUAAAUAAUGAGAAUAUGAGGUUUUAUAUUGCCUCAAAAAAACUCUAUGAGGUGUUACAUUUUGAAAAAAAAAAUAUCAAUCUAACAGAGAAAUUUAUAGAAAGAGUGAGGAAAGUGUCCAGGGAAAAAGAAGAAUUAUUUGAAGAAAGAAUUAUUCUAUUUAUAAAAUUCAUACUAAAUGAAGAAAAAAAUUAAUUUAAAAGAAGAUAUUAUUCCAUAAACAUAAAAAAGAAGGAAGGUCAAUGAGGUUAAAAGAUAAUAUAAUAAAGAAAAUGAACGAAAAAGGAAAUGAAAAAUUAAUAAGAUAUAAAAUGGCAUAUAAGGAGCUGAAAAUGAUGUUUGUCAUUAUUUCUUUUGACUAUUUUACGCUGCUAAUUCCUUACCUUCUUUUAUGUUUUUAUUUAAAAUGUUUUUUCCUCCUUCAUUUUUUCUUGUGUAUUUUUUUAUUAAAGUUAAUAUUUUCAGCAUUAAAUUUAAAAUGUUAAGAAGCACUAAAAAUCUUACUAUUAUGUAGUUGUUAUUUAUAAGAGAUAAUUUCAUUUAUUCAUAUUUUGGUGAAAUCUCUCUCAAUUAAGUGUGGAUAAAAAAGAAAUAAUAACUAAUGAUAUUUUCUCAAUUUGAAUCUCAACUUUUAAAUAUAUCUCUAAAUACUCUUCAAAUUAAAAAUUACAACUCUUUUAGAUACCACUUAUUAGGACUUUAAAGCAUAAACACUUUUGACAUGAUAAAAAUUUCAACUUCCUUUUGCUUUUUAAUGGUUUAUAGUUUUGUGAAAUUAAAUUUUGUGAAGAAAAGGAGUUUAUUUCAAAAGUAAACAUAUAUAAUCAAUCUGUCUCAUAUUAAUAUGAUGAAAGAAUAAUCUUAAAAUGUAAGUUAAAAUGUACUAAGUUUAACUUGCGAGAAACAAAAUAUGACAAAUAAAUUAAAUAUGAGAGUAAUAAGGCGUGUUUAGCUACUUAAUUAUUUUAUCAUACAUUAUUUGUCAAAUGAGUUUCAGUUAUACCAUUUGUAUUAGUGUAUUAGAUUAACAAAUUCUUUUUCCUGUAUUUUAAAAUUAAAAUUUAUAUACCUACAAUAUAAAUAAUUUGGUUUUGAAUACACUUUUAUUCUAAAAUCAAAUAUGUAUACCCUUGUAUUAAAAGAAUUCUAUAAUUAAACCUUAUGGGUAUAAUCUCCAUAACUUAUUAAAACAUAAUUAUUAAAAAAAUAUUAUUUAUUUAUUUUCUCCUUUUAUGAAGUUUUUCUCAUUUAAAAAAAUUAAGUGAUUAAGUUAAAGGAUAACCCAAUAAUCAUACUAAAAAUGAAAGGUUGAUUACUACUCAUUAUUAUCAGCAAUCAUUAAUAUAAUAUCAUAAAAGGAAAACAAACGUUUUCUAUAGCCCUGAAAGUCAAUUAGUGCUCCUAUAGGUCAUUUAUCUAUUAACAUUAUUCCUCCGUUGAAUAGUAUUUUUUCACUAUUGACUUGAUACACUCUAAUAAACACUAAAUAAUAUGGAUUUUACUAUAUUACUCAAUAUGUUAAAUUUAAUAUUUUGAGAAAUGUAUUAGAUAAUGAGUAAUAUUCAAAUUAAGAGUAAAAUAAGCACAAAUGAAUAAAUUAUCUAAUAAUCUUUUAAACUAAACAAGAAAUUAUUAAACAUCAAUUUUUAAUAUAAUGAACAAAUAAAAAUGGACGGAGUUUAAAGAAAGUACUAUCUUUAUUUUAUUUAUUUACGAAAUGAUCAUCUUUGAGAUUUUACAUACCAAAAUUAAUGUGAAAUUACAAAUUUGAUGGUAAGUAAGAAUCAAUAGAAAUAUCUUAAUGAUUAAAUAUUAGUAUUGAAAGUAAAUUUUCAUAUUAUACACCAUGAAGUAAUUAGUUUCCCUUAUGUUACGUUACUUACCGAGAAAAUUUAGCUCCUGCCUUCACUUUCUUUCGGUAAAAACUUACACGCACCCGAUAUAUACACCAAACUAAUAUUUUUUUACCAUAAAACUAGAGCAAGGCCUAAUUGAAAAUGAAGCGAAUUGUUGAUUGUGUCAUAAAGACCCUUAUGUCCACGCCCCAAUCGCCCCCCCGGAGGAAGAUGUGCAUCUAAUUAAAUCAAGUAAAAUAUAUGUUGAUUAAUCUUGGUUAAGUAACAUGAACUUUAAAUUCAAACACAUGACAUGCAUGUAUUGACUUGGUGUAUACACCGGGUGCGUGUAAGUUUUUUCCCUUUCAUUUUUCAUUAAAAGCACUUUCAAUUUAUUAAGAGGACAUUAUUAGAGUGUUGUUUUGGAAAAUAGAAUUCUGAUUUUAGGGGAUUUUACAUUAAUUUAGGAGAUUAAUUAAAAAAAAUGCUUUUUGACAAUUAAUUUUAAAAAUAAAAAUAAAAUAUAGCCACAGUACGUGAAGUAUCCAAUAUAGGCUUGUAAUAAUGAAGGAAAAGAAAAAGAGAAAGAAAAAUUUGUACAUAGUUUUUGCCAAAAUUAAAUAUUAUUUUAAAAAAAUUCUUUAAUUUCAUUAGUUUUGAUCCAUUUAGAGGGUUGGCUAUGAGCUUUCAAAGUGUGUAUUUUUCUUCACUUUUUUACUAUUUUUUUCUUUAUUUAGCGUUUAAUAAAAAAGCUUGCCAAAAAAAACUAUAAAUAAGAAUUAAAUGUACAAGUAUUAUAUAUUAUUAUUUUAUUUAUUUCGAAAAGGAAAAAAAAAAAGAAGAGAAAACCAUAAUGUGAAAAAACAAAUUUUUACUGAUAGUCCAUUUGACCAAGUUUAUUUUUAUCCAAAAGUGUUUAUUUUUUUUUUUAAAUUGCUUAUUUAAAAAAAUUGAGGUAUUAGACCAAACUUCUCUAAGAAAAUAAGUGCUUAUGAGAAGUAGAAGAAACAAUUUUCAUAAACUAAAGAAAAAAAAUAGUUUCCUUCAAAAGUACUUUUUUUUAUAAAAAAAAAAAAAAAAACUUUUGAGAAAAAUACACUUAAAAGCUAUUUUAAAAGCUUGAUCAAAUGUAAAUUAUUGCUCAAAACUUCUUACUCAAUUUAUUGGCCAUACAAAUUACUUCUCACCAAAAUUACUAUUUUGAAAAGCACUUUUCAAAAUAAAUAUUUUAUAAGCUUGGCCAAACAUGCUAUAAGAUUCCCCUUGUAUUAUAUAUUAUAAACUAAAAAUAUGAUAUAAUCAAACUAAUUUCAAGAAAUAAAAUAUUAUUGUAUUUCAAUUAAAAAAUUUAUUGCAUAAAAGAAAUUUAUGACUGCGCGAAGUGCGGUCAAGUACCUUGGUAUUAAUAUAACAAAGUAGUAGACUUCUUUCAUAAUUAUGCACCUUAAAACACGUAAUAUUUUCAUUUUCUCCUAAACAAUCGACAAUUUCUUCUUCUUUUUUAACCACUAAUUAAAUACCCCUAAUCAAUUAACAAAUUCUUUUUACCACUAAUAAACUUUAAAAAUAAAACCUUCUCAAUAGCCAUCUACAAUCUACCCCAUAAUAAACUUUAAAAUAAAACCUUCUCAAUAGCCAUCUAAGAAACACAAAAAAAGGGUAAACAUAGAAUCAGACUGCCAAAAUAAAAAAAAGACAACCCGAAACACAAAAAAAGGAUAAACAUAGAAUCAGACUGUCAAAACAAAUAAAAGACAACCCGAUACAACAGUAUGUGUAAACCUUAUACAAGUCAUAAUAUAAUCUUAUACAGUUUUACAUGUAUGUGUAAACCUUAUACAACUCAAUCUUAUACAGCUCGGACCAGACUCCAUUGCAAAAUUUAUACUUUACGGAUUAACCACUUUCAAAUAAAUAGCAAAAAAAACAAAGAUCUGACUUUGAAAUAUAUGAAAAAAUACAAAAAAAUUCAACUCUCACAAUGGUAUUGAAUUACAAAAGCGGAUACUUUGAUGAGUACAUACCUGCAGCAAAGAAAAAUUCGAAUCCAAAUUUAAUUUGGUAAAGUUGAAAAAAAAAACCCUUAAAAUUAAAUGAAGAAGGUGAACUUUGCUCAGUUAAUGAUUGAUAACUGAAUAAUUUGAAACUCCCUAGAUCACGUUAGCUUGAUUCUAGGCGUAAAUAAAGGAGCACAGAUAUGGAGUAAAAAACGGUGCACAAAAUAUGAAGCAGAAAACCUAUUUUGGUUAGUAUAAGGGGAUGAGAGAGAGAGUAAAAGUAAGAGAUUUUAUGUAAUUAAUAUGAAAUUUUUGUAAUUAUUUUUCAAAAUAGAAAUUUUAUGUAAUAUUUAAUAUGAGACUCUUGAGCGUGAAUAUCUGAU